AACUGCGAAUGGCUCAUUAAAUCAGUUAUCGUUUAUUUGAUAGUACCUUACUACUUGGAUAACCGUGGUAAUUCUAGAGCUAAUACAUGCUGAAAACCCCGACUUCGGAAGGGGUGUAUUUAUUAGAUAAAAAACCAAUGCCCUUCGGGGCUCCUUGGUGAUUCAUAAUAACUUCUCAGAUCGCAUGGCCUUGCGCCGGCGACGGUUCAUUCAAAUUUCUGCCCUAUCAACUUUCGAUGGUAAGGUAUUGGCUUACCAUGGUUUCAACGGGUAACGGGGAAUUAGGGUUCGAUUCCGGAGAGGGAGCCUGAGAAACGGCUACCACAUCCAAGGAAGGCAGCAGGCGCGCAAAUUACCCAAUCCCGACACGGGGAGGUAGUGACAAUAAAUACUGAUACAGGGCUCUUUUGGGUCUUGUAAUUGGAAUGAGUACAAUUUAAACCUCUUAACGAGGAACAAUUGGAGGGCAAGUCUGGUGCCAGCAGCCGCGGUAAUUCCAGCUCCAAUAGCGUAUAUUAAAGUUGUUGCAGUUAAAAAGCUCGUAGUUGAACCUUUGGCCUGGCUGGCAGGUCCGCCUCACCGCGUGCACUUGUCCGGCCGGGCCUUCUCUUCUGGAGAACCGCAUGCCCUUCACUGGGUGUGUUGGGGACCAGGACUUUUACUUUGAAAAAAUUAGAGUGUUCAAAGCAGGCCUUUGCUCGAAUACGUUAGCAUGGAAUAAUAGAAUAGGACGUGCGGUCCUAUUUUGUUGGUUUCUAGGACCGCCGUAAUGAUUAAUAGGGACAGUCGGGGGCAUCAGUAUUCAAUUGUCAGAGGUGAAAUUCUUGGAUUUAUUGAAGACUAACUACUGCGAAAGCAUUUGCCAAGGAUGUUUUCAUUAAUCAGUGAACGAAAGUUAGGGGAUCGAAGACGAUCAGAUACCGUCGUAGUCUUAACCAUAAACUAUGCCGACUAGGGAUCGGGCGGUGUUAUUAUUUUGACUCGCUCGGCACCUUACGAGAAAUCAAAGUGUU
rnacentral:rRNA from 1 species